rnacentral:rRNA from 1 species
UACGGAGGGUGCAAGCGUUAUCCGGAUUUACUGGGUUUAAAGGGUGCGUAGGCGGCUUUGUAAGUCAGUGGUGAAAUAUGGCAGCUCAACUGUCAGGGUGCCAUUGAUACUGCGGAGCUUGAGUACAGAUGAGGUAGGCGGAAUUGACGGUGUAGCGGUGAAAUGCUUAGAUAUCGUCAAGAACACCGAUAGCGAAGGCAGCAUACUAGGCUGUAACUGACGCUGAGGCACGAAAGUGUGGGGAUCAAACAGG